rnacentral:rRNA from 1 species
UGCAGGCUGCAACCCGCCUGCAUGAAGCCGGAAUCGCUAGUAAUCGCGGAUCAGAAUGCCGCGGUGAAUACGUUCCCGGGUCUUGUACACACCGCCCGUCACACCAUGGGAGCCGGGAAUGCCCGAAGUCAGUGGCCCAACCGGAAAGGGGGGGAGCUGCCGAAGGCAGGCCUGGUGACUGGGGUGAAGUCGUAACAAGGUAAC